AAUCAAAGUAAUCACACCUUGUUUUAAGGAAGCCGGAAACUCCCCAUUUUCUAUUGAUUCGUGAAACAUAGCAAGAAUGAAAGGAAUCAAUUUAUCAUUGAAUGCUUUAUAAAACUCGCUUAUUAAACCAUCAUUUCCAGGGGACCUAUUGUCCUUAAUGCUUUUAAUACAGUCUUUUAUCUCAAUUUCAGGUAACUCAUCAUCACAAAAAUCCCUGAAAUCAUUAUCUAUCUUAGCAAUGUUUGCAACACGUCAUGCUCUUAUCAACUGAGCUACGAAGGAGCACGUCGACGUCGCUAGAAUGAUGACAAGCAAUGUUAAGGGAUUCUAAAGGGAAUCAGAAUUCCAAACUAAUUUCUAUGGCAACACAGUUGUCAAUUUUGUAAACAAUCAUUUUCGAACGUGUGUUGCCAAGAGACAUCUAACCGACGUUCUAUGGAACGUUUUCUGUGCGAAAACAACUUUGCUGCUGACAACAAACUUGUUUGAUUUUUGAGACCUGAGAACAAUCGACUGGAAAAUGCCUGGGUGCUUUUCAAGACUGGCGGAGAGAGUGCGUGGACGUCGGCGGCCUACUGCGUGGACGUCGGCGGCCUACUGCGUCGACAGGUUGUUCAAAUUCAUUUGUGGCUUGUUUUUCUUGUCUUUUUCUGUUUUGCAGGGUUCGUGAUCGUCGACAGGUGGACAGCGACUUCGAAGAGGAAACAACUGUCCUGGAUGAGGUCCAGUUGGAUGUGCCAUUGGAUGAUGUGCUAGAUGUUCCACAGCUGCCAGUCCUCCUUGAUGUCCAGAAUGCUGCUAUCAUCCUUGAGGAUGUGCCAGAUGUGCAGACUAUCCUUGAGGAGGCCACUGGCAUUUGGCAGUUGAUUCCGAUUAGGUUCAGCCCCCAGUACUGUGGGCCUGUUGUGAUCAGGAACAAUGCCGGUCCGGUGGUUAAAGCUUGGAGAACUUUCCAGUUCAUCAGCCCCAUCAUCACCUACAUGCGUGGGUAAUCCCAGCAGGUGGUGGUGAGGAUGAACCACGUGAGUAGGGUGAGAGGCCUGGAGACUCAACUGGUGUGGGCCAUCUCCAAGGAGACAGCCAGGCUUAGUCCAGAGGGCAUCCCCUACUGUGCCACCAAAGUGCAGUCCAUCACUUGGAUCCAGCGUGUGGCUGGCAGGGUGACCCACUAUGCGUCUCACCUCCGCCACGAGACGUCUGUGGACAUGACGCUUGGCUGCAACCAGCAGACUGAUGUCUCAGUGGUGUACGCCACUCUCCACAUGGGGCUGGACGG